rnacentral:misc_RNA from 1 species
AGCAGCCGCGGUAAUUCCAGCUCCAAUAGCGUAUAUUAAAGUUGUUGCAGUUAAAAGGCUCGUAGUUGAACUUCGGGGUUCACUCAUUGGUCAGGCUUAAUUGUCUGUACUGGUGAGAUGAAUCUCUACCUUCUGAGGAACUUUCAUGCCAUUUAUUUGGUGUGGUUGGAAAUCAGGACUGUUACUUUGAAAAAUUGAGUGUUUAAAGCAGGCUAACGUCUGAAUACAUUAGCAUGGAAUAAUGAAAUAGGACGGAUUGAUUCUAUUUCGUUGGUUUCUAGGGUCACCGUAAUGAUUAAUAGGGAUAGUUGGGGGCAUUAGUAUUCAAUUGUCAGAGGUGAAAUUCUUGGAUUUAUUGAAGACUAACUACUGCGAAAGCAUUUGCCAAGGNUG